CAACCAUCAAGCCUUAGGCUUGUGUUGGGGCCCUGCGGCCGUCCGCAGCCCCCUAAAAAUAGUGGCGGGCUCGCUAUAUACCGAGUGCAGUAGUUUACUCUUCGCUCAGGACGUGUAGCGGGUUCUGGCCGUAAAACCCCCAAAUUUUCAA
rnacentral:misc_RNA from 1 species